rnacentral:SRP_RNA from 1 species
AAUGGGCGUCGUGGCGGGAGCCCGCUUCUAGGCAGUAGAUUGGUGUGGGUGGAGUGAGGGGAGGAGUCCCGCGGUGGUCGUUGAGUACGGCGACCGGGUGUCCGCGCCAAGCGUUGUCCGCCGUCGGAAGAUGGUGGGUCCUGGGCGGACAAGGAGGGGUGUACGGUCGAGGUCCGAAAGGGAGCAGGCAAAAACCCCCGCGCGAUGCAGUGGCCGGAUAGCGCCCGUGAGUGCUCGCGCUGUCGUGGCCUCUCCAAUACCUUCAGACCUCCAGUCGU